GAGACAGGCGGCGUGCUUACCAUGCAAGUCGAACGGAGAAUUUAUUUCGGUAGAUUCUUAGUGGCGAACGGGUGAGUAACGCGUGGGCAACCUGCCCUUCAGAUGGGGACAACAUCCCGAAAGGGGUGCUAAUACCGAAUACGAUCACGCUGCCGCAUGGCGGUGUGAUGAAAGAUGGCCUCUAUUUAUAAGCUAUCGCUGAAGGAUGGGCCUGCGUCUGAUUAGCUAGUUGGUGGGGUAACGGCCUACCAAGGCGAUGAUCAGUAGCCGGUCUGAGAGGAUGAACGGCCACAUUGGGACUGAGACACGGCCCAAACUCCUACGGGAGGCAGCAGUGGGGAAUAUUCCGCAAUGGACGAAAGUCUGACGGAGCAACGCCGCGUGAGUGAUGAAGGUUUUCGGACUGUAAAACUCUGUUGUUUAGGACGAAAGUGCCUGUUGCAAAUAGUUGCAGGUAUUGACGGUACUGAACGAGGAAGCCACGGCUAACUACGUGCCAGCAGCCGCGGUAAUACGUAGGUGGCAAGCGUUGUCCGGAAUUAUUGGGCGUAAAGAGCAUGUAGGUGGAUACUUAAGUCUGUUGUGAAAAUGCGGGGCUCAACCCCGUAUUGCGAUGGAAACUGGGUGUCUUGAGUGCAGGAGAGGAAAGGGGAAUUCCCAGUGUAGCGGUGAAAUGCGUAGAUAUUGGGAGGAACACCAGUGGCGAAGGCGCCUUUCUGGACUGUGUCUGACACUGAGAUGCGAAAGCUAGGGGAGCGAACGGGAUUAGAUACCCCGGUAGUCCUAGCCGUAAACGAUGGGUACUAGGUGUAGGGGGUAUCGACCCCCCCUGUGCCGGAGUUAACGCAAUAAGUACCCCGCCUGGGGAGUACGGCCGCAAGGUUGAAACUCAAAGGAAUUGACGGGGGCCCGCACAAGCGGUGGAGUAUGUGGUUUAAUUCGACGCAACGCGAAGAACCUUACAAGGCUUGACAUUGAGUGAAUUGUUAAGAGAUUAGCACCCCUCUUCGGAGGCACAAAAACAGGUGGUGCAUGGCUGUCGUAGCUCGUGUCGUGAGAUGUUGGGUUAAGUCCCGCACGAGCGCAACCCCUAUCUAUGUUACCAGCGGAUUAUGCCGGGACUUCAUGGGAGAACUGCCAAGGACCAACCUGAAGUAAUGCCGGAUGACGUCAAGUCAUCAUGCCCCUUUUUGUCCUUGGCUACACCGUACUACUAUGUUCGGCAACUAUGGUCUAGAUAACUCUGCUAGGUGUGGUACAUAAUUCUCCGUA
rnacentral:rRNA from 1 species